rnacentral:rRNA from 1 species
CCUACGGGUGGCAGCAGUGGGGAAUAUUGGACAAUGGGCGAAAGCCUGAUCCAGCCAUGCCGCGUGUGUGAAGAAGGCCUUCGGGUUGUAAAGCACUUUCAGUGGGGAAGAAAGUCUUGGGGCUAAUACCCUCGAGGAAGGACAUCACCCACAGAAGAAGCACCGGCUAACUCCGUGCCAGCAGCCGCGGUAAUACGGAGGGUGCGAGCGUUAAUCGGAAUUACUGGGCGUAAAGCGCGCGUAGGCGGUCUGAUAAGCCGGUUGUGAAAGCCCCGGGCUCAACCUGGGAACGGCAUCCGGAACUGUCAGGCUAGAGUGCAGGAGAGGAAGGUAGAAUUCCCGGUGUAGCGGUGAAAUGCGUAGAGAUCGGGAGGAAUACCAGUGGCGAAGGCGGCCUUCUGGACUGACACUGACGCUGAGGUGCGAAAGCGUGGGUAGCAAACAGGAUUAGAUACCCGGGUAGUC